UAAGAUAAUUUAAUGAUACUAUCUUUCCAAACUUUGUUAGAUUUUAAAUGUAUUAUUGACCUGAGACCUUAAUGACAAAUCACUGCUAUUAGACAAUUGAAGUGUUCAUUUACUUUGUAAUUCCAAUAAUCAUAGUUAUGGAAUUAUGGUAAGGUUUUGCUUUUCUGUCCUAAUAAAUAUAUAUAUUUUUUGAGAUGGAGUUUCGCUCUUGUUGCUGAGGCUGGAGUGAAAUGGCAUGAUCUCAGCUCACUGCAACCUCCGUCUCUUAGGUUCAAGCAAUUCUACUGCCUCAGCCUCCCGAGUAGCUGGGAUUACAGGUGCUCACCACCACACCCAGCUAAUUUUUGUAUUUUUAGUAGAGAUGGGGUUUCACUGUGUUGGCCAGGUUGGUCUUGAACUGACCUCGUGAUCCACCUGCCUCAGCCUCCCAAAAUGCUGGGAUUACAGGCUUGAGCCACCGCUCCCGGCUGAUUUUUGUAUUAGUAGAGACGACAGGGUUUCACCAUGUUGGCCAGGGCUGGUCUCGAACUCUUGACCACAGGUAAUCAGCCCACCUCGGCCUCCAAAAGUGCUGGGAUUACAGGCAUGAGCCACGGUGCCCUACCUAUUUUCAAGUCUUUCAAUGCCACUUUACCUCAGGUGUUUUGGGUUUUUGAUCUGUCUAUAGUAGUAUUGCUGGGACUAAUUUUUUAAAGACUUUUUGUUACUACUAAAUAAUUACAGAAAAAGCAAAGCCAAAAGAAAAUUUUAAGUACUUAGAAUUUCAAACAGACAAUAUUCUUUUCAUAUCUGUUUCUAUCCAUCAAUGUAUAUAAUUUUUUAAUAAAAUUGAAAUAUACAUAUUUGUGGAUGCACGUUCCUUAGCAGUAAACACAUUUUUUUCUAUUAUCAUUUUGAACUGCUAUGUAAUAUUCUAAGGUAUACGUGUGUGUACCAUAAUUUAUUUCAUUUGGUUGCCUAUUAUUAUUUCAUGUUUCCAGCUUCUCACUAUUAUGAUUAGUGCUAUAACGCCUAUUUGAUUUAAUUUGCAUUUCUUUUAAAACUUGGCUUUUAUUCUUGUUUUUUUUUUUGUUUUUUUGUUUUUUUGAGAUGGAGUCUUGCUCUGUAACUAGGCUGGAGUGCAGUGGUGUGAUCUCAGCUCACUGCAACCUCGACCUCCCAGGUUCAAGCGAUUCUCCUGCCUCAGCCUCCCAAGUACCUGGGAUUACAGGCGUGCGCCACAACACCUGGCUAAUUUUUUGUGUUUUUAGUAGAGACGGGGUUUCACUAUGUUAGCCAGCCUGGUCUCAAACUCCUUACCUCAGGUGAUCCACCCACCUCAGCCUCCCAAAGUGCUGGGAUUACAGGCGUGAGCCACCGUGCCAGCCAAAUCAUUUGAUUUGUUUCUUAAUACUUUCUGUCCCCUGGCAUCAUGCUGUCCUGUCCUAGGUUUAUAUAAAUGUUAACCUGUAAUUCCUUUUAUUUUGUGGUUUUGUAUUUUG
rnacentral:lncRNA from 1 species